rnacentral:rRNA from 1 species
UAACCUGCCCAAGAGAUCGGGAUAACACCUGGAAACAGAUGCUAAUACCGGAUAACAACAGAUGAUGCCUAUCAACUGUUUAAAAGAUGGUUCUGCUAUCACUCUUGGAUGGACCUGCGGUGCAUUAGCUAGUUGGUAGGGUAACGGCCUACCAAGGCGAUGAUGCAUAGCCGAGUUGAGAGACUGAUCGGCCACAUUGGGACUGAGACACGACCCAAACUCCUACGGGAGGCAGCAGGU